UGGGGAAUAUUGCACAAUGGGCGCAAGCCUGAUGCAGCCAUGCCGCGUGUGUGAAGAAGGCCUUCGGGUUGUAAAGCACUUUCAGCGAGGAGGAAGGUGGUGAGCUUAGUACGCUCAUCAAUUGACGUUACUCGCAGAAGAAGCACCGGCCAACUCCGUGCCAGCAGCCGCGGUAAUACGGAGGGUGCAAGCGUUAAUCGGAAUUACUGGGCGUAAAGCGCACGCAGGCGGUUUGUUAAGUCAGNUGUGAAAUCCCCGGGCUCAACCUGGGAACUGCAUUUGAAACUGGCAAGCUAGAGUCUCGUAGAGGGGGGUAGAAUUCCAGGUGUAGCGGUGAAAUGCGUAGAGAUCUGGAGGAAUACCGGUGGCGAAGGCGCCCCCCUGGANGAAGACUGACGCUCAGGUGCGAAAGCGUGGGGCAGCAAACAGAUUAGAU
rnacentral:rRNA from 1 species